GUCCUAGCCGUAAACGAUGGGCACUAAGUGUCGGGAGAUCGACCCUUUCGGCGCUGAAGCUAACGCGUUAAGUGCCCCGCCUGGGGUAGUACGGCCGCAAGGUUGAAACUCAAAGGAAUUGACGGGGGCCCGCACAAGCGGUGGAGCAUGUGGUUUAAUUCGACGCAACGCGAAGAACCUUACCCAGGCUUGACAUCUUCGGGACAGCCUCAGAGAUGGGGUCUUCCUUCGGGACCCGAGGACAGGUGCUGCAUGGCUGUCGU
rnacentral:rRNA from 1 species